AUGCAGGAGGAGAAAUUCACAGGGCUCGCAGAGCUACUAACCAAGGUAGCGACUGAUGACGGGACGGUGAUCAUCACAUCAGUGAACGAGGCGUGGGCACGACUAGGCUCCCUCCUUGACCUCUUCCUCGCGAGCUUCAAGAACGGCGAGGGCAUCGCACACCUCCUCAACCACACCCUCAUCAUUGCCAUGGACACCAUCACCUUGGCCCGUUGUGAGGCCGUGCACCCGCAUUGCUACCUCCAUGAGGUCACCUCUGCCAACGUUAGCUCCGCUAACCGCUUCAUGACCAAGAGCUAUCUCGAGCUCAUCUGGGCCAGGCUCGAGGUCCCACAACAUAUCCUACAACUUGGCUACAACUAUCUCUCCACCGAUGUGGAUGUCAUGUGGUUGCGCAACCCGUUCCGAUACAUCAACCUUUACACCGACAUGGCCAUGUCGACCGAUGGCUUCAACGGCAAUGUUGAUGACCUGAAAAAUGUGGGAAACGGCGGCUUCUACUACAUUAGGUCGACAAACAGGACGGUGGAGAUGCUAAAGCGCUGGCGGGCAGCAAGGUCACAGUUCCCCUCCGCCCACGACCAAGGAGUACUCAAUGAGAUCAAGGCCGAUCUCGCGGCCGGUGAACUGCAGAUCAAGUUCGUGUUCCUUGAGACGACACUCUUUGACGGCUUCUGCCAGUUCCACGGAGAGAUGGACAAGGUGUGUACUAUGCACGCCAUCUGCUGCAUCGGGCUUGAGAACAAGGUGCACGACCUUAGGAACCUGGCUGCUGACUGGAAGAACUACACGAGCGUGGCGUCAAUGGAGAAGAGGACCGGCAAGCAUAGGUGGACGCCCCCCAACCGGUGCAAGGCGUCGAUGAGGCAGCACUGA
rnacentral:rRNA from 1 species